UACGUAGGUGGCGAGCGUUAUCCGGAAUGAUUGGGCGUAAAGGGUGCGUAGGCGGCCUGCUAAGUCUGGAGUGAAAGGUACCGGCUCAGCCGGUACAGGCUCUGGAAACUGGCGGGCUAGAGAGCAGGAGAGGGCGGUGGAACUCCUAGUGUAGCGGUGAAAUGCAUAGAUAUCACGCAGAACUCCGAUUGCGAAGGCAGCGUACCGGCAUCCAACUGACGCUGAGGCACGAAAGCGUGGGGAUCAAACAGG
rnacentral:rRNA from 1 species